rnacentral:tRNA from 1 species
UUUAUUAUAAUAGUUUAAUUUUAGAAUUUUGUUUUGAUGAGACAUAGGUUUUUUAUAA